ACUAAAUGAGUUAUUUGCAUCGGUCUUCAUAGCUAAGGAUGUGAGGGAGAUUCCCAAACCUGAGCCAUUCUUUUUAGGUGACAAAUCUGAGGAACUGUCCCACAUU